GUUAGGGUAAAAGGAGAGCAAAGGACUCACUCUGCUCUAAUGCAAGCCUUUGCCUGCACAUGGUGUUUAUGUUCGACCUGCAAACCCUGUAUCAUUCAGAUCUCCCAUACUUGAUAAGACUUUUUCCCUGUAAGAUACAAUCACCUAUGUAAUGGACUCAGGACUAUGCAGAUCAUUGCAUCCAUGAACUUCCUACAGUCUCAAGGAACUUAUGUAUUUAAUUUUUUAUGCCUGCUGUGAACAUUUCUAUUUUUAGGGUUAAAAAAAAAAAAAAGAAAGAAGACACAUAACAGAGUUGGAAUGAGCACAACAGAUUUACUUGUUCAAACACACAAUGGUGGAAUUUCUCAUUCACCUGAGGCACAUAGCUGGUUUUUGUCUGGUUUGACUUCUUUUGCUCCUUAAGGCUUGCACCAAUACUUCUGCAACUGCUCCUCUUGGUUUUAUAGAAAUGGGCAUAGAAUAAAGCCCAAAAGUUAAUCCUCACAGCUGCUGGCUGCAAUUUUAGUUGUAUGUCAAUAAAAGAAACAAGAUCCUAGGACAUGCAAGGCUGCUGCCCUGAGGCAAAAUAUAAAGGUAUUCUCCCUGAGAUGACUACUGAUAUCUAAAAACCCAGAUAGGCAGGCACUCUGGUGGCAUCUAGUGCAGAAGUGAAACACUCAGAUGGAGAAACCAAUGAGCAGGCUUAAACAUGCCCAAUCUACAGUCACCCCAUACAGUAUUUGGAGUGCUGCUGGUAACAACAGACUCGCCAGGAAGUUGAAAUCAUUGCAAAUGUUGUAUUUUAUGUUGUGAAAAAACCUGUUCAAAACACCUCUGUUGAGUGACAGGAUUGCAGCCUAGAAGCUGCAGAUGAGGCAAGAGGGACAGCAGGGCUCCCUCUCCUCUUACACAGUGCCAGCCUGCUGUAGCAGCCUUGUUCAGGGGUUACCCCUGCCCACGUAUCUUGUGAGGAACCGCUGGGGAGGCUCCUGGGAAGGGCCACAGCAGAGGCACAGUGGGAUGGAGACAAAAUGCAGCUCUGGGGAGCCAGCUGUAAUGCCACUGGAACUUUCUGGGAUUAAUCAUCUGGAAGGGAGUGAUUUUGUUUCCUUGUAUUUGAGGCCAUAUUUGCAUGGAGAUGUAAAUACUGUUUCAGUCUUCAGUACAAAUAAGCUGCCUGGACAAAAAGCUGCACCUUCUGCCCACAGAAUUUAUCUUCAUUUUCAAAAGUGGCAGCUGAACUACUGGCAGUUGUGUUGAUUACUUCUGGAAACCUUCCUGAGAAUCAGUGAACUUCUUUAAAAGUUUGUUAGGAAUUCUUCAUGUUCUUUAG
rnacentral:lncRNA from 1 species